AAGUAGUGUGACACGCUCGUUUGGAAUAUACUCUUAUGUAUGUUUAUUUAUUAUUUAAUUGCUUUGGGAUAACGGGGUGUUACAAUCUC
rnacentral:pre_miRNA from 1 species